rnacentral:rRNA from 1 species
CAAUAGCGUAUAUUAAAGUUGUUGCAGUUAAAAAGCUCGUAGUUGGAUUUCUGGUUGAAGCGACCGGUCGGGCGUUGAUUCGUCUGCACUGGAGUCGGUUUUGGCCAUCCUCUAGGAAAGUGCGUCUGGUAUUAAGUUAUCGGGCGUAUGAUCCUGGUCUUUUACUGUGAAAAAAUUAGAGUGUUUAAAGCAGGCCUUCGCCUUGAAUACAUUAGCAUGGAAUAAUAAGAUAGGACUUUGGUCUAUUUUGUUGGUUUGCAGACCGAAGUAAUGAUUAAUAGGGAUAGUUGGGGGUAUUUAUAUUCCGAUGUCAGAGGUGAAAUACUUAGAUUUUCGGAAGAUAAACUUAUGCGAAAGCAUUUACCAAGGAUGUUUUCAUUAA